rnacentral:rRNA from 1 species
UACGAAGGGGGCUAGCGUUGCUCGGAAUCACUGGGCAUAAAGCGCACGUAGGCGGCUUUCUAAGUCAGGGGUGAAAUCCUGGAGCUCAACUCCAGAACUGCCUUUGAUACUGGGGAGCUCGAGUCCGGAAGAGGUGAGUGGAACUCCGAGUGUAGAGGUGAAAUUCGUAGAUAUUCGGAAGAACACCAGUGGCGAAGGCGGCAUCCUGGACCGGUAUUGACGCUGAGGCGCGAAAGCCAGGGGAGCAAACGGG